rnacentral:rRNA from 1 species
GCCAGCAGCCAUGUCACCCUGCAACUUACAAUUGGCAACCCACUGAAGCUAAGCAGGUGUGAGCCUGGUCAGUACUUAGAUGGGAGACCUCCUGGGAAAAACUAAGGUUGCUGCUGGAA